AGGUGUAACUGGUGUCGGUAGCUGGCCCGUUUUCUUCCUCUACAUGCACCUUGAAGCAGACGAAGUUGCACCAGAGUCUGUACAGUCAUCAUCUGCAGGACUCCAGUACCUGAUCGUAGCCCUGACCCUGAGACCUCUGACCCCACCUGCCAGGUCAUUCUCAUGCCACCUUAACCUGCUGAAACCAGAGAGCGCUGCGGGGGAGAGGAAGUGAGCCUGCAUCAAACGGUUAAAUCCAGUUACAGAGAGACAAAGAACGGACCGGACCAGCGGAAACCACGCACAGCCAGAUGGAGGGGAGACUCUGAAGAUCGAGUGGGAGACGGGGGAAAGUGAGAAGGGUCGUGGUAACAUCACGCUGCUUUUCCAUCGGGUUCAGUGGGGCGGGAUGCCCUGGUGGCAAACACCCAGGUUCAGGAUGAAGAUCUGUCACCAGAGGGACAAACCUGUAAGAGACUGGCUGCUGAAAAAUGCAACACAAUACAAAAAUACACAAUUUCUGUGAUCAUAUUCACUUUUUGAUAAGAAAGUCUGGUUUGUUUAUGGAGGAGUGAAUGUGCGAGAAGUGAACUCUUGUGUGGUUUGAAUGCAUAUGUGAACACAAAGUGAACCAAAGAUGGCGUUAAGAAAAGCAGGAAGUGGACUACAGCACAGGGCAUUCUGGGUAAAUACAACCAAAACAAAGGCAUUAGCCUAACGCUAGCAGGAAAAAUGGCUUGUGGUCUUUUACUAGGGACAGAAGAGAUUUCCUCCAGCUGCUAAAAUGUGACACUCUGUUUUUGUUUUCAUUUCAUGAAGAAGGAAGUUGCACUCAGUGUCUUCUUAAGAAGUUUUUUUGUUGUUUCUUUCAGUGGUUCUUGGUGCAGCGCCCCCACAGGUAGGGAGGGGCUCAGGUUUUUCAAAGAGUUUGGUUCGUUUAACUGCAGUGGGGAAGAGAAGCACAGCAGCUCAAAAUGUAACGAUGUCUGCGAUCGAACCAAGUCUACCAGACUAUCAGGUGUGAAAACAGCCCAACUGUUUUUUGUUUCAUUACAUUUGCUGCAUAUAGUUUUGUGACGCGUUGUGUUUGUGAUUGUUUUUGUUCACCAGUCUUCUAUGAUUGGAGGAUAGGAUAUGAGAAACCCAUAUAAGUAGCACCGAUUUAUUUCUCCUGAUGUUUCACAAGAUCUAUAUUAUACACUACAAAAACAUAAAAUCUUACCAAGUGUUUUUAGUCUAGUUUGUGGUGCGAGCAUCUUAAUCCUAUUUCUAGUGUGCAAACUUUUC